rnacentral:snRNA from 1 species
GGAUGCAAGGGUGAUCUGGCUGUGAUGUCUGUCAUGCCAUUGAUUGCCAGGUUGAUCUGGCUGGCUAGGCAGAUAUGCCAUUCCUCCCUCACCACUUCCAUUGUGCAUCUCUCCUGAAGCUGUACAUUUGGUUGAAGAGGACAACCUUCUCAAUAGAAGAUUAUUCUUUGGUCAAGAGUAUAUGAGUACCUGUGCUCUCCUGCUAGAAUCUCCAAAUAAGCAAUCAAAGGAAUCAGGACUGUCCUCCUCAGAGGAAGCCAUUACAGUUUCUUUAGGAAAAGUGGGGUUAAUCUCAGAUAGAGAUGAAAUGACUGC